UGCCCAGUAGCCAAGCGGUAAGGCAACGGACUUUGACUCCGUCAUCCCGUUGGUUCAAAUCCAGCCUGGGCAACCA
rnacentral:tRNA from 1 species